CAAAGCAGGUGGGAUUUCCAGGAGACCAGCUUCUAGGAGGAAGGAGGAGCUAACGCAAAGGCUGUGAGACGGGGGUGUGUUUGGUGCUCAAGGUGCCGCCACAAAGUGGGCGUAGCUGGGUGAGUGAGCAAGGGAGGAAGCGGGAAGCCUGCAGGUCGCCAGCCGCGCCGCAGUGGUGAGCAGCGGUGAGCAGUGGUGAGCCCUGGCCGUUGGGCUGGGAGGAGCCGCAGCCUGCGUCUAGCCGGGUGGCUGGUGCCCCGGGAGGCGGCUUGACCCACUGGACUUAGCAUGAGUGGGAAGUGAACCUGUUCCGCAUCACUGCACCGUGAGAGCGGGCUUUGUCACCGCUGCAGAAAGGAGCCCAUCCGGACGAACACGGGGUGAGGUCAGGGUGGGGAGGAGUGGCCGGGUCCCCGAAGGCCGUGUGGUCCUGCUGGCCGGCGGCUUCUGCCCGACUGUGAGCAAGGCGUCUGUCUUCUGUGCGUCAUUUGGCUUUGAGUUUUUUGUUUUUGAAUGGAAAAUUUUAAUCUUGAUGAGAUUAAAUUAUCUUUUCCUUAGCAGCUUCUGGGUGUUUUACCUCCUGCUUAGAAAAGCCUUUUCCUACAUGUUCUUUUGGUAGUUUCAUGGUUUUUUUUGCAUUUAACUCUUUUGUGCCUCUGAUGUUGACUUCUGUGUGGGGAGGUAGUGAUGUCUGAUUAAUCCUAAGUGGCUCUCGAUUCAGUGGCUGCCGCUCCUUUCCAGCCCUUAGAACCUCACUGGGCAAUCCUCAGGGGACAGACACUGGGCGGGGCAUGAGCGGGGCUCAAGGGGAGGCGGGCACAGCAGGUCCCGGGGGCAGGGAGGCAGCUGUAAGCGUUGACACAUUACAGGACAGCUUCCGUCAGCCCCCUCAGGGUCACAGCUGCGCAGUGCAGCCGAGCGUACCCUCGCGUGGACGUGUGGCUUCCCGGGGGGUCUCCGCGGGCGGGCGUGCAGCCCCCGUGCCAUGGCAGCCCUCCCGUGCCAGCAUUUGGUAAGCAGAAAUGUGGCCAAAUAGCCCACGCCACCUCCCGAGAACAAGUGACUUAUUUUACUGUCCUUUUUGAACACUUGAGGCCUCCCAAGGUGCUGUUUUGUUCGGGAAUGCUGCAAGAAAGCCGAAGAACACGUGGGGCAUGCUGGCCGGUGCCCGCAGGAGGCCAGCUGUGCCCCGCUGGGGGCGACCCACCCCGGGCCUGCUCCCGGGCACGUGGGAAGAGGGACGCAGUUCGAGUCCAAGAAAACCAAGAGAACUGGUUUCUCUGCUUCUGGAAAUGGGUGGGCACGUUGGUCAGCAUGAAGGGCCUGCGGUGGUGGCCUCGGGAGUCCGGCCACAGGGCCUGUGAGGGACAGAACACGCAAUCACCGGGGCUGUGCCGCCCAGAGGACAGCCACUUGACCUGCAGGUCCAGUGUUCGCGAUCCAGGCCCGGCCACCAGCAACCUGGAGGAAGAGGAUUCCUGAGGGAAGCCCACUGGAGUGCCACCGAUCCCCUGGAAGACGGUGGACAACUGGGCAGCGAGCCUUCUCCGCCUCCCAGUUCGGCAGCUCUGGCGCACAGUAUGAAGGCUGGAGGGAAAUGCACGUGGAUGAGCAGAACAGAACACUGGCUCCAUGUUCAGCCAUUCUCUUACCUCCCUGGGACUGUGUCUGGCAGAGCCCCCCCGAGCCCUGUGACCUGUGUCUUGACUGCAGCAUUACUACAAGCUGUGCUGGUGUCUGCAGACCAAGACUCCGGCAGCCUGGUGUGGCCAAUUUCCCGGACAGGAGCCAGUGAGGACAUGGGGUCCUGGUCCUCCACUCUGCCGUUGACUAAUGGCAUGCCACUGGGAAGCUGUCAGACCUCUUUAAAUCUCAAAAGGGUUUAUUCUCUGGCUGACAUGAGCUUGCACACCUGGUAUGCUCAGCAUUGAGCCUGGCACACGCAUAGGAAGUGUCCCAUAAAUAUUAGCUGCUGUGGUGAGCCAGGUAAUGACGAUGACUCAAGGCUGAGUCGAGGCCCUACCUUGCAGUCGUAUACUUAGGGGUCAGUUCCUUCCUUGGGGGUCAUCACAACUGACCCCAAACUUCCAAGGCUCUUGGCAGCAGCCAGGACUCCAGAGCUACCCCCCUAACCCAGCCCCAGCCCCUCCCGGGCUGGGUGUUGUCAGAGGCUAUCAGCCAGGAGGUCUGUUUGGUCUUGGGGGGAGAUCAGAGAGAUGGGGAGCCAGACACUGGAUGGGGCCCUUACCCUGGCUGUGCCCACCACUGGUCCUGAGGCUGUGAUGCUGGACAGGCCGCAGGAUGCGGAAGCAGCCCCAAACCCCUCACGGCCUGGCAGAGAGGGGCUCCUCAGGCAAGGGGCUCAGGCCGCCUUGAGGGGCACCUGGUAUUUGAGAGACAAGCUUAUGAACACAGUAACAAUGUAAAAGUCUGCACUCUCCGGUCUCUACCGCUGAAUUACGUUAGAUCAUUAAAAAUAUCAACAGACAGACCAGCACUGCUUCCUGCAGACACUGCCCUUGAUUUGGGAUUUCAGACAAUGCCUUGGGCAUUUCCAAAGGGCCAGCUCCAGACUCCAUCCCUCCAUCAGGGGAGCCCCCGGGAGAUGGCCUCCACGUGAAGCCAGUGCUGCGAACUGACGUGCUCAUGCUACUUCUGUCCUGAAGUCUGGGUUCAGGGAUGGCUGGCACAGGGCCAGCUCGCUGUGCCUCCUUUUUGUGGACAAGGACUGCUGGGCAAACUGUAGCACAAGGGCCUGGGAGGACCACCAGCCUGGAAGCUUCUAACCCAGGGACCUUUCUAUCUGAGGGGCAACAGUUGUGGGUGCUUUUCCAGCCUUUUGGGAACUAACUUUGAGGGUAAACAAGUACAUCUUCAACAAAAGUGGCUCAGAAAGUGCCUGCGGUUCACAUCACUGUGCCCAGAAAAUCCUCCAAGUCCCAAAUGAUGGCUUCUUUCUAGAAACGGAGCACAUCCCUCUGAUGAGUCAGGAGGUGAGUCAGGGAUGACCAGAAUCCCCCUGGUAGGGCGGCGGACUGGUCUAAAGGGUCUUGUGGUUCAAGGAAUACCUUGAACUUGGCCAGAAGCCUCAGCAGGUGGAUGGCAGCCUACCCUUGCGGCGGGGACAGUAAACGGAUAGAGGGAGCAGAGGUCUGGGGCGGGGAGCUUUUGUCCAAGGGGCCUCUCCAGUUCCAGAACCCUCUGGGCUUCUCCAAGGUCUGGGCCCCUCUCUGUGCCAUUCCAGGUCAUCUGCUCCAGAGCAGCUCUCAUGGGGGAUGCAUGAAUCUGGAGAAAGUGCCCCACUGGGGGCCUCAAGGGCUUUUGUCCUCUGACAAGCACAUGUCCUCCAACACCCAUGUGGAGUUUUCGACAGUCACUGCCCUUAUAUAGGAGCCAUAAAUUGCUCUUUACUGUUGCCACCAUAAAUUUAUCAUGUGCAAUAUGUCCCCUCAAGCCUGUAUCCUCCAUGUGAUCUGUACUUGAUUUUUAUUAAGUUUAAAAAACUUUAUAAUGAACAAUUUCAAGCAUAUGGGAAAAUACAGAGAGCACAUUAUGAAUGCCUACAUGCCCAUCAUUUUAUUUAAUAGUUGCUACCAUUUGCCAUAUUUGCUUUGCCUGUUUUUUUUUUUUAAUGAGUUUAAAGUAAAUUACCAUCUUUGUAACAUUUCCACAUUAACUAUUUGGGUAUUCAUAUCCUCAAACAAAGAACAUUUCCUGACUUAAUACAAUGCUGUUAUCACAGCUAACAAAAUUUGUGAUGCCAUUCGACACCCAGAUAUUCAAAUCUGUCUAGUUAUCCCCCACAUGUCUUUUACAGCUGACUUGUUCACACCAGGAUCCAGCUAAGGACAGUGUCUUGCACUGGGUGGUUAAGUCUCUUAUGUCACUUGCCGUGUAGAACAAGACCAGCCUCUGCUUUGGUUUUUAUGAUGUUGACUGUGGCAGAGACCAGGUGGGUGCCUUGCAGAGUGUCCAACCUCCAGGACUUGUCUGAUUGCCUCCUUGCUGCCACUUGCUUUGUCACUCCACAUGCCUAUGAGUUGGAAGUUAGAUCUGAACAAGGUGUGAUUAGAGGAUUGGACUCCUUGGCAGGAGGCAGGACUGUGUUAAUAGGUGAUGUGUAGCAUCAAAAUGCACAUUGUGUCUGGUGGUUCCACUCUUGGGGAUCUAAAGCAUGUCCCUCGGCUUGGGGGUGAGAUCUGGACCUCUCCGCUAUGACUGCCAUGUCCCAUCUCUUGGGGGCCAUCAUGUGAUCUGUGGGGGACACCUUGGCACAGGGUGAAUAUCCAGUUCCCUGCCAGUCCGUCACCAGUCUCCACUGAUGACCCUUGCUUGAGUUGAUUGGGUUCACACUCAGGGUCACAAAACAGUGAUCUUCUAAUUGAUCCCUCCUUCCACAAUUAUCGCCUGGCAUUCUUCUAGAAGAAGGAUUUUCCUCAUCAAAUGGGUCAUUUUGUUGUCAUUAAUACUGUUCCUAUUGCAAUGGCAAUGUUGAUACUUAAUUUGUCCCCCUUAUAUCUUAUUUUCCGAUUAAAGAGUUGGUGAUUUU